AUUCCAGCUCCAAUAGCGUAUAUUAAUGUUGUUGCAGUUAAAAAGCUCGUAGUUGGAUUUCUGGGUUCUUCGCUAGCUUUGGUCCGCAAGGGCUUCAGUGGGCUGUUUGAAUCCAUCCUCAGGGGGACCCAUGCUGGUAUUCAUUUAUCGGUGUGGGAACGCCUGUCGUUUACUGUGAACAAAUUAGAGUGUUCAAAGCAAGGUGUACUUGAAUACAUUAGCAUGGAAUAAUAAGAUAGGACUUUGGUGGUUCUUUUUGAUAUUUUGUUGGUUUGCACGCCAAAGUAAUGAUUAAUAGGAGCAGUUGGGGGUAUUCGUAUUCAAUUGUCAGAGGUGAAAUUCUUGGAUUUAUAGAAGACGAACUACUGCGAAAGCAUUUACCAAGGAUGUUUUCAUCA
rnacentral:rRNA from 1 species